GAGGAUAUAACUCAGUGGCACAGCACCUGCCUGGCAACCAUGAGGUCCUGAGUUCAAGUCCCAGUACCCUCC
rnacentral:tRNA from 1 species